rnacentral:rRNA from 1 species
AAAGACGGCCUAAUACCCGAUGUUGUCCACAUAUGGCAUCUGACGUGGACCAAAGAUUCAUCGGUGGAGGAUGGGGGUGCGUCUGAUUAGCUAGUUGGUGAGAUAACAGCCCACCAAGGCGACGAUCAGUAGCCGGUCUGAGAGGAUGAACGGCCACAUUGGAACUGAGACACGGUCCAAACUCCUACGGGAGGCAGCAGUGGGGAAUAUUGGUCAAUGGACGGAAGUCUGAACCAGCCAAGUAGCGUGCAGGAUUGACGGCCCUAUGGGUUGUAAACUGCUUUUGUUGGGGAGUAAAGUGAGGCACGCGUGCCUUUUUGCAUUUACCCUUCGAAUAAGGACCGGCUAAUUCCGUGCCAGCAGCCGCGGUAAUACGGAAGGUCCAGGCGUUAUCCGGAUUUAUUGGGUUUAAAGGGAGUGUAGGCGGUCUGUUAAGCGUGUUGUGAAAUUUAGGUGCUCAACAUUUAACUUGCAGCGCGAACUGGCGGACUUGAGUGCACGCAACGUAUGCGGAAUUCAUGGUGUAGCGGUGAAAUGCUUAGAUAUCAUGACGAACUCCGAUUGCGAAGGCAGCGUACGGGAGUGUUACUGACGCUUAAGCUCGAAGGUGCGGGUAUCGAACAGGAUUAGAUACCCUGGUAGUCCGCACGGUAAACGAUGGAUGCCCGCUGUUAGCGCCUGGCGUUAGCGGCUAAGCGAA